GAAAUGCGAUAAGUAGUGUGAAUUGCAGAAUUCAGUGAAUCAUCGAAUCUUUGAACGCACAUUGCGCCCUUUGGUAUUCCUUAGGGCAUGCCUGUUCGAGCGUCAUCUAAACCUUCAAGCCCUGGUUGGUGUUGGGUGCCUGUCCCGCCUCCGCGCGCGGACUCACCUCAAAUCCAUUGGCGGCCCCCGCGUCGGCCACGAGCGCAGCAGAAACGCGAACUCGUGAGCCCGUCCGGGCGGCUCCCAGAAGCUACACCCACCCAGUUUGACCUCGGAUCAGGUAGGGAUACCCGCUGAACUUAAGC
rnacentral:misc_RNA from 1 species